UCCUCCCUGCCUCGCUGCGCCGGCCCUCCUCGAUCCUCCUCCCCCCACCGCACACCCCUCCUCCCUCCCCUGCUCGAUCCCCUGCGCGGAGCGGUGGCGGGGCUGGUGCGGAGCGGCGGCAGGGCCGACGCGAGCGUGGGACGGCGGCGGGGCCUCGCUCCUCUACGUCGUGCCUGCAACUCCUCCACGAGCCCUCGGCGUCCCCGUCCGAGGAGGCGCGCCACGAGGCCGUGCUCCGGCGGCUCACCGCGGAUGAGGUUCGGAUCCGGGUGUACCAGGUCACGAUCUGGGGUUGCGCCCGCACGCGGCGCGCCACGUUCGAGGCUGUUGUGGGCCCGGACCUCGUGCGCGCCGCCACCGUGCGAGACCUCGUGCGCGCCGCCGCGGCGGCUGGCGACCGCCUCCAUCGCCUCGGCGCCUUCGAUACUAUCUCCAUCACGCUCGACGCGGCUCCGUUCGCGAUUCCCGGCAGCGCUGUCGUCGUACUUGUUGAUAUCGCAGAGGCCGGCGGCCGCGCUACCGCUUAAUUCGGCGUCUUCGCCAAUACCCAGAGACCUCAAGAGAGAAUCUAAGCUAAUUUGGACUAAAAGAUGGUGCUUUCAUUGGACAGUGCAAUCUUAUGGACUGCUGCUCGAUACAAUUAAGCAAAUUUUACUGAUCCUCAUGCUUUCAAAAUGAUUGGACAAGGCCCGUGCUACAUAUUUUUGAUAUUUGCUGGUGCAAUUUCACGUCUGUGCUGAAUUUCACCCACAAGCCAACCGAAGAGAUUGUUCGUCUUCGUAACCCCUUUGGCAGCAGGAAAUGCACGAAAGAAGAUCUCCGACACGGAAGUCAAGCUUCUGUUUGAAGGUGCUGGUGUGAGUAUCGCAGUGCAAGGUUCAGCAUGCUAAUGUGGAUGGCAUCCCAUGAAUUUUACCAAGUUUGUUAUUUCUUUCUUAUGGUUUUUGCGGUUAUAUCGAUCCCUUUUGUCCGUGAUCUGUUUCACAGACCAAGUGUCAGGGACAUGCUCGGGAGGUGGCGUCUUCCCAUGACCUUGGAAUGUCCGACGGCAUUGUCUGCAUUAGUGGCGAUGGUGUCCUCGUCAGGUCACAAGCAGCCCUUGGAAGUCUGUACCAUUUUGCAAGGGGAGAAAAAAAUUUCCAGUGUCUUGUUGAUGACUUGGGGCACGCAACAAACUUUAUAAGAUAGUGUCAAAUUUCUAAGGAACUUUUCUGGUAGCUGUAUGAUUAACUUUUGAGAAAAAAAAAGUCUUAGGUUUGGUGGCGGACAUAGAUAUUGAGUCUCAGAAAUACCGGUGGAUGAGAAAUGCACACUUCGACUUCUAUAUUGAUGUGGAGCUGGGUCUGUUGUUCGGGUCCUGCUGGGCUCUGAAUUUUUCACCAACUUCACCUCUAUAUCAGUACCACGCUUUGACUCUAAUGUAUGAUAGCUCCUUAUUCUAUAUUGUCAAAUUGCAAAUAUCUGGAUACCUGUAUAUGUGAGACUAUAGAGAUUGAAAUGGUGUUAUCGGCUUAUUGCAAGGAUAAAGCUUGCCACCUGAAUUGGCUCAAAAUUGAAAUCGUGGAGGCAACCGCAAGGACUCAUGCUGUUUGUUUCAUUUAGCUUUUCACUGCGAUUCGUGGAAAAGUUGCUUUUCUGAAUGGCCUCGAAUCAAAGGUAUACCCAGAUUUGGUGUCAAUCGGUCUAAGCAACAUAUUGGCCCUUGCAGUGCUUGUAUACUGUUUUCCUCCAACUGCUCUCCUUAUUUGAAUAUGUGAGUUAGUGAAGGCUCUUCCGGUAACAGAGGUGACUUUGUGAUUCGUAAGUGUUUGCUUUUUGAAAAGACAUGUGCUUAAUGGUAAUUUCGACCCAUGGCAUCCAACCAAUAGCAUCUUUUGUGUAUAAAAGGGUACAUAAAUUACUUGCUUCCCAUGAAUUAAAUUCACCGCAUCUGAAAGUGAUGUGCUUGUAAUUGAUAUUCGUUGCAGGGUUACAAAAUGACUGAUCAAGAGAGAGAUGAUGUUCCUAUGUUGCUAAGAAAUGUUGAGCUUCCAAGAUUUCCUCUAAGAAGUACUUCAAUGUGUAUACCAGUCAAGGAUGAUGAAUAUGAAGAAGAAACCUUUGUGCCCCAUACUGGUCCUCUAUUCAUUCAGCCACCAACUCAGACGACAUUGGCCAUUCCAUUUACAAGUAGAAACAUACCAGAUAGGCUGCCUCGACCUUCACAGGGAAAACGUGUCAGCAAGCCACAUGCCAUCAUGCCGCAAGAAACUAGAGGAAAUAGGUGGUCUUACAGUCAUAUGCUGUAUGCUUGAUGUCAUAUGCUGUAUUCAUGGCAAAUAAUUGGAAUGCAACCGUGAUGGAAGAUAGUUUGCUUUGAUUUUAUGUCAUCUAUAAGCACCUAUGUUUAGACGUAUUAUUUGACUUUGUCAUUUACGUCGACUGAAAGAAAAAAAAUCAGCACUACUAUAUGGGUUUGAUGAAUUUAUA